ensembl:lncRNA
AUAUCUUAUAUUAAAUAUAACCAGAAGUANUGCGAUGUGUCCUGUCACCACGACCCUCCAACUGCUCCACAUCACCACCCCAUAAAGACGAGAAAGACAGAUCUCAUUCCAUCUCUGCAAGAGGACAGAAAUACAGUAGAGACUGUGUUGAAACAGAGGGUGAACUGAAGGUAUGGGAUGCAUUCACUGUGAUAAAAAGAACUGAGGAGAGACAGCGAGCGAGAAGCAGUACACACAGACAGAGAAUCCCGCUGGAUUCAAGCCACCGGCCUUCCACUGUCCCACUGGAUAGUCAGACGGGACGCCGAGCACUAAGCACACCAGAAACUCCCAUGUGCAAGAUUAUCUGGAGAAGAAAAGAUGAACAACCUAAACAUUUUAAUGAAGAGGAUAGUCCCAAUCUAACCCCAUUACUACAUCUCUACCUGCCUUCAUCAUAUCAGCCGCAGGAGCAGGGAGAAGAUACAGCACCGGGACAGGAAAAUAGCUCAGAGGUACAUGAGAAGCAAGAUGUCACAGAGGAACUCAGAGAGCAUGACAUCACCAUGGAGAGCCAAAAACAAGACAUCACCGUCAGUAAAACAGAAGAUGAAGGACAGAAUGAUUUCACAGAUGGCAUACGAUAUGAUAUUACAGAUACCUGGCAGAAUGACAUACAGAAAGAUACUCCUGAGGAAACUUUUGAGACUGACACAACUGAGGAAAACCGUCCACAAGACAUCACAGAUGACAACAGACAACACGAAAUCUUGGAAAAUCAAUGUGAUAUUGACAAAUCUUUAAAUAUCAUAGAAAACAAACAAGCAUAUGACAUUACAGAGAAGACUGAAGGAACAAAUGGCAUAUAUAUGAGAACCAGAUCAAACAGAAGUUCAUACAAAGCAUCUGAUGCCAGACUCCUAGUCAAAACACGUUAUCUGGCCACAGCUACAGCGCUAACAUUCCCGUCUACCACGACCCACAGAAAUCCCUCUCCCACUCUUAGCGUCCUGCCAUCGUUUUAUGGAACUUCAUUUGGCUAUCGCAUCAGAACAACGUCUGAGCCCUGUCGAUCCAAAACAAGGACCAGAAAAGACUGUGAUGAUGACAACAGAUUUACACAGCCCAUGAAUGACUUGCGACAUUCCAUAGAAAUAAAAGGAAACCCCUGCUUACUACAAACAAGGGCUGGAGUGCCAGUCAGCCCCCACCCCAAAAUAUUGAGCAGUGAGAGGGGGUCCCAGCCUCGUAAAAUGAAAACCACCAACAUGUUUUUGUGGGGACCAGAGGGGCCCCGAGAGACUAAGACAGUGUGUGAGCUAUACAGUCCUGUGAACAGGUGGAGAAGCCAGGAUCAGGUCUGAGAGUGGCCUUUCAUUCCUUUCUAAUACAGAAAAGCUGCUUUGCAAAAAUAUGUUUGAUUGAAUCAAAGCAGAACAGACUGAUACAUUAGACCACUUUGGGUUUAACAGCUCAAACUGUGCUUUAGCACUGGCUGCACUGUUCAGUUUAGUCCAGCAAGAAAGUGUGAUAGACUUUUUAGGUUUUCUGACACCCAUCUGGUGUUCCUCAGUGAAUGGCAAGUAAGGGGUAUCGACAUGGAAUAUUAUGAUUAAUUAAAAAUAAAAUCCCUGCAUGUUUUGGUGUUUUUUCUCUCUCACUCUGACUUGAUAUACAACUAGUUCAUCAUCUAAAAUAUGUAACUCCAUCCAAAAAUCAUGUCUGGUGACUGUCUUUCAGCACUAGGGAAUGACAUAUGACUUUUGAAGGCUGAAAAGAAAAAUGCCUCUACAGCUGUUGAAUUUGAAACUAAAUGGCACAUUUAAGUGAUGCAUUGUGCACACUAAAAGGUCAAUUACAGAUGCUGUGAUAUUAGUUUCAUGAGUUGUUUUGUAUAUCAAUAUAAAUUAUUCAUUAUACACUGUUCUAAAGAUUUGGGUCAGUCAGGUUUUUUUAUUUUUCUUUCUUUUGCUCAGCUAGUCUGCAUUUAUUUGAUCAAAAUACAGCAAAAACAGUAGUUGUUGAAUAUUAUUAUAAUAUAAAAUAAGAGUUUUCUUUUUGAAUAUAUUUUUAAAAGUAAUUUAUUUCUGUGAUCAAAGCUGAAUUUUCAGCAUCAUNUAUAAGAUU